rnacentral:rRNA from 1 species
AGCUCUAAUAGUGUAUAUUAAUAUUGUUGCAGUUAAAACGCUCGUAGUCGAAUUUCGGGCCGUGGUCACUGGUCGGUCUUUGUGGCUUGUACUUGUGAUCAUGGUCUUACCUUCUGGGGAUCUGGCCUGCUCUUCAUCGAGUGUGUCAGCUAUCCAGGACUUUUACUUUGAGAAAAUUAGAGUGUUUAAAGCAGGCAUUUGCUUGAAUACAUUAGCAUGGAAUAAUAGAAUAGGACUUUGGCUCUAUUUUGUUGGUUUAGGAACCAAAGUAAUGAUUAAUAGGGAUAGUUGGGGGCAUUAGUACUCAAUAGUCAGAGGUGAAAUUCUUGGAUUUAUUGAAGACUAACUACUGCGAAAGCAUUUGCCAAGGAUGUUUUCAUUG